GAGUAACGCGUAUCCAACCUGCCCACCACUUGGGGAUAACCUUGCGAAAGUAAGACUAAUACCCAAUGAUAUCUCUAGAAGACAUCUGAAGGAGAUUAAAGAUUUAUCGGUGAUGGAUGGGGAUGCGUCUGAUUAGCUUGUUGGCGGGGUAACGGCCCACCAAGGCAACGAUCAGUAGGGGUUCUGAGAGGAAGGUCCCCCACAUUGGAACUGAGACACGGUCCAAACUCCUACGGGAGGCAGCAGUGAGGAAUAUUGGUCAAUGGACGAGAGUCUGAACCAGCCAAGUAGCGUGCAGGAUGACGGCCCUAUGGGUUGUAAACUGCUUUUAUAAGGGAAUAAAGUGAGUCUCGUGAGAUUUUUUGCAUGUACCUUAUGAAUAAGGACCGGCUAAUUCCGUGCCAGCAGCCGCGGUAAUACGGAAGGUCCGGGCGUUAUCCGGAUUUAUUGGGUUUAAAGGGAGCGUAGGCCGGAGAUUAAGCGUGUUGUGAAAUGUAGAUGCUCAACAUCUGCACUGCAGCGCGAACUGGUUUCCUUGAGUACGCACAAAGUGGGCGGAAUUCGUGGUGUAGCGGUGAAAUGCUUAGAUAUCACGAAGAACUCCGAUUGCGAAGGCAGCUCACUGGAGCGCAACUGAC
rnacentral:rRNA from 1 species